ACAGACCUGCCGUCGGACGGCUCGCACCUGUCGACCUGCGACCCCGUGCCUCUCAAGGUCGCGAUUCAAGGUCCCGAAGGUUGUCUCUUCAGGUUACGACUUGUCCGCUCAUAGACCCUGGUGGACCGGUCUCCUUGUUACGCCGCCAGCCUCGCGCGAGCAGUUUGCGACUCCCUGUACCUAACCUGGCGGAUGACGGAGGGACACGGAUUUUGGACUUUUUCCGUGGGUCAUUGGGAGUCAUGAACAGCUGUUAGCCACGAGGAUGAAAUGGCUGCGACGAUGUGUUUCGAACCUCGGCACUUCCUCCUCGGAGUCGGAAGGGACCUCGCUUCCAUUCCGCCAACAGUGCUCAGCGGAGCACGGGGCCGUAAAAAGUAAAUUAAAUAAGAGUUAAAUAGAAAUAAAAGCAUUCGGCCAAGUAAUUGGUUGGCUUGCUGAUGGGCAUCUGGGCCUCUUCGCUGCGGCAACCCUCGCGGUGAUCCGCGAACCACUCUACCGACACCCCUUAAAUCCGAGGGGCGAAUCAAUCCACUCCGACGGUUUCCGCCGUCUGCCGAAGUAAUUCCUAGAGAUAUGCUAUUUUCUCGGGAUAUGGUUCAGAAACGUGUACCCUGUUAACGGUAAGAAAAACUGACAUAAUAUAUAACUUUGAAUAUUGUUAUAAAUUUACAAUGUAUAAACAAAACCCAUUGUUAUUAAGGAGCGGCACAAUAAUAAAAUCGCAUCGAGUAUCACCGGAAAAA